GUGCUUUAGGGAUGAGGAAGUUCCUUAUACAAAAUAUCCAUCUAAAUCAAUUUUUCAGUGGCCUUUUAAGUGGUUAUUGAUCAUACCGAAUGGAAAAUGC